AUGUUGCAACAAAAAGAGCAUCUUAAUGAGGCUGUCUACCUGCCUGUCCAAAUGCUUUUCCACCUGUGCAGAUCCAUCCCUGCCAGUCCAGCUGUCUCCACACCUUAUCCCCACUUAGCUGAUCAGCUGUCUCCUCCAGGGGGCCCCCUGCCGUUCCACCAGCCCCGAGCCCUGCCUGUCUGUCCAGCUGUCCCCUCUGCUCUUCCAAAGACCUCUUUACCAGCCCCGUUCCUGUCCUGCCCAGUCAAACAUCUCCCUCCGUCCCCAGCCCCAGUGACUCCUAGCUUUUCCAGCACUUUCCACCAUCUAGCAGCCCCACUUCUUUCUGGCACACCUGACCAUCCACCCCACCCAGCCCAAAGUUCCACAGUCAUCCCUCAUCCUAAUGCACAAAGCAAGUUCUUUUACAAACCUUUCAGACCCCAGCAUUUCCCUCCACAGCGUUGGACUCCAGCACCUCUCAUGCCUGCCCUGGUCCACCGUUCCCUUCCAGCUCGACUGGUUGUUUCCACGGCCCCUUGGGAAGCUCUCCCUGUCUUGAAGCCUCCCUGUCUCUCCAGUCAGCCCCCUCACCAACCAGUCCCCACUCCUCACAUCAGUCCGCUGCCUGAACGUCUUGCUCCCCUAGGCCCUUUACGGUCAGUCCAGUGGUCCGUUCCCCAAGCCACCACAUGGUCUGAUCUGCCCCAGGCCUUUGUAGACCAUCCUCCUGCCUUUGUUCCCACUCGCCCUCCUCCCUGUUACUCCCCAUGCUCUUCAUCUUCCUCAGCCUCUCCUGCCACAUCUCCUUCAUCUCCUGUGCAGUUCUCUUCCUCUUCACCUGCUCUUUCCUCAUCUGUACCCUCCUCCCCUAACUCUCCACCCGGGCCUCCUUCCCUCAGCCCUCUCCUUUCCUGUCCUCUGCGUUCCGCCCCCUGUGGAGUCUGUCCUGCUUUGUCCUCCUUUCCCCUGGUGCGUUCCUCCCCCUGUCUUCCUACUCGCCCAGUUCCCUUUACUCCUGCUCAUACCCUCAAUCCUCCUCACUGGGGGAAGAAAGUAGAGAAGAGAAGAGAAGCAAGUGGACUAGAGAAGAAAGAAAUAGAGAAGAAAAAGUUGAGAGACGUCAACUUUAAAGGUAAAUACAUUGAGUUUAUUAGAUAUUUUGUAGGUUUAGCAAUAUUUUGUUUGGGAAGGGUGACUGAAGGGGAAGGAAUGUGUGAGAGUAGGAAAGCCUAA
rnacentral:lncRNA from 1 species